ensembl:lncRNA
UGCAGUGUUUGGGUCCAGAAUGACAGGACUGAAGUGGACCUUCUCCUUCAUCUUCUCCCACACUCUGAAGGACAGGUUGCCCAGGUGUUUGGCCACAUCUAUCAGUGCUCCUGAGACCAGCUGUGGAUCUGACACUGAGCUCUGGGCUCUGGCUCUGCUCUGAGUGUCUUUAUAACUGCUGAGGAAUGGCACGCUGUGUUUCUGCAGCUCUUCUUCAACAGCAGAGAUGCUGUCUGACAGAGAGGAGAUCUGCUCCUCAAUCAUCUUCAUCUCUCUGCUGAUAGUCCUCCCCUUCUGCUCCUCUUCCUCCCUCAGAGCUGCCAGUCUGGACUCCUCUUCCUCUUUCAGGAACUGCUGGAGCUUGUUGAACUCUGCUCUGAUCUGCCUCUCUGUGGACAACAGCUGCUUCUUCAUGUGUUCCCUCAUUUCAUUGUAUGUUUCCUCCACUUGUUUGUAUUUGUUCCUCUUGUCCUGCAGAGACUUUAAGUCAGAUUUCAGCUGCUCCUUCAGGUCACUGACUGCUUCUUCUACAGGAACCACUUUGUGACUCUGGUGGAGAGAAAACUCACACACAGGACACACAGCUCUCUGCUCGUCCACACAGAACAGUUUAGGCACUUCCUCAUGUUUACUGCACACCACUGUUAAUUUCUUCUCUCCUUUUUCUGUCUCAGAUGAUCCAGAUUUCUUUGUGUCAGUAAAUGAAUCAGCAAGUUCUUUCAGUGUAAAGUUCACAUCAGGACGAUCCUUUGAAGAUUUUCUUUUACAAAUGGGACAGUUUUUGUUUUUAGCUUUGUGGCGGAGGUGUGGUCCCGGGCGCGGCUGCAGGGGAGGAGUGGUGCAGUGAGCUCAACGGGACGGUGCUGGAGAGGCAGUCUGGUAUGGUGCAGCCACUAAACAGGACAGGAGCAGACUGCAGCGGACUGUACGGGCAGCUGAAAAGAUCAUCGGCGUCCCCCCUGCCCUCCACACUGCUAGGCUGCAACUGCACCUUACAUUCUGUGGCUUUCAUUUCAUUUCUGCAAUCAUGUAUAUAUAGAGAGAGAGAGUGAGUGAGAGAGACAGAGAUGUGUG